rnacentral:rRNA from 1 species
UACGUAGGGGGCAAGCGUUGUCCGGAAUUACUGGGCGUAAAGCGCACGCAGGCGGUCUUUUAAGUUUGACGUGAAAGCUCCCGGCUUAACUGGGAGAGGUCGUUGAAGACUGGAAGACUUGAGGCAAUGAGAGGGGUGUAGAAUUCCCGGUGUAGUGGUGGAAUGCGUAGAUAUCGGGGGGAAUACCAGUGGCGAAAGCGGCACCCUAGCGUUAGCCUGACGCUCAUGUGCGAAAGCGUGGGGAGCGAACGGG